UUAGCCAUUUCAAUCCCUCACAGACGCUGCCUCCUCCAUUUCUUCAGAUAUGAAAUCUUCUUCCUCUGCUCCAUCUACUCCGUCGACGCCGCCUUCUCCUCCGAUGUCGACGCCAAGACCUGCAGUAGACGCCACCGCCGGCGCCGCUAUUCCGUCUUGACUUGUCGCCGACCCUGCUAGCCACUGCCACCGCUAGCCUCCGCCACCGCCACUGCUAGUUUCCGCCAUCGCCAACCUCCGCCAUCGCCAUUGCUAGCCUUCACCACCACUGGGUUUCAAACAUUCUCACUACGCCUCUCACUCCUCACCUCAAACUCCGGCUCCCGCUCCGCCACUUCGCCUUUUUCGUGGACUGUGACUUCGACUCCGGCUCUCCAACUUCUCAGCUCUCAUGGUCUCACCUCUCUCAGUUAUCAAUCACCAUUUGCAAAUGAGGGGUUGUGUUUGAGAGAUCAGAUGGUGCGCAGAAUCACUUCAUCUGAUGAUAUCUCAGGUUGAAGAGUUCAAAACAUGGUUUGAGGAAAGACUGAUAGCUAGUAUCUGUUGUUAUGCUUUAUUGCAUGAAAUAGUGAAAAAAAACUCAAGGAUGCCUCAUUACUACCUUUUAAUGCUUUCUGGUUUAGAUAAGUUCAUUUCAAAGUAAUCAUUUGAAUUCAUCUCAACAAGUAAUGAAAAGCUCAAAAGUUUGCCUUUAAUUAUCUUUGUACCCUACACCAGAAAUUUUAUAAUUCAUGAAUGGCUCUAUCGAAGCUUGAGAUGGCACAAGUGCUUGCUGAGGAAAAUGAAGCAGUUGCUUUAGAAGCUAAAGAGUUAGCAGAAAUCAGAAAACUCUAUGCUGAAGAGAAAGAAGAAGAGGUAAAACUAUUAGAGCGGUCUAUUGAAGAGUUAGACUGCAGUAAAUGUGCUUGAAAACUCUAUGGAUAAAGAAUCUCUGGCUGGACGUAAAAUACUUAUUCGUGCGCAGACAGAACGGGAAAUAUUACAAUCUUUGGACCAUCCUUUUCUUCCAACUCUCUAUACCCACUUUGAGACUGAUAAGUUUUCAUGUUUAGUUAUGGAAUUCUGCCCAGGAGGAGAUCUGCACACUCUGAGGCAGAGGCAGCCAGGGACACAUUUUUCUGAACUAGCAGUCAAAGGGUCAACCAAAAAGCAUUGUUCAUGACAUUGAAAACAUGGUUCGCUCUUACAUCGAGAAGCCUAAUUCUAUUAUUCUUGCAAUUUCUCCUGCCAACCAAGAUGUCAUGAAGGAACUACCUCCUAAAAAGGAGCUAAUUUUACGUGAUGGUCUAUUUCUCUGAUCAGAAGUGGCAAUAUGAACGCAUCGAUGGAAAAGUUGGUGGAGUUGAAAGACAAAUUCGAAUUGAUAGAUUUAAUGCUAAGAAUUCUUCCAGAUUCUGUUUUCUUGCUGUCAACUAGGGCUGGGGGUUUUAGGAAUUAACCUUGCUACUGCUGAUACAGUGAUUAUAUAUGACAGGUUGUCUUCUGGGAGUUGGAUCAUCAGGGUGUCUCCCAUAUUGUUGUGGAGUGUAGAUAUUUUUACAAAAACCUACAUUCUUUUGUUUCAAGUCUCUUUGGAUUUGUAUAUAAGUACAUCUAGUUUUAAGUUCACUAAUAACAUGUUGAAUUCUAGUUCCCAUGUUAUCAAAGAGUUCUUCUUUAGGCAUCAAGUUCCAAGAA